UGUUUCAUUAUAGAAAAUUCAACAGUCACUUCUUCUCCCCCCCAAAAAACCAUUGCUUCCUUUAAUUCUCUUAAUUAGGCCUCCAUUAAUUCUCUUCCUCCAUUUCUUUCCCAGGUGAAUUUCCUUUUUCCUUAUCACUUUCUCUCUUCUUCCUCCUCUCUCCACAGGUAAUCAUCAAGCUAAAUAUCCUCUUUCUGUCUUUUGAAAUUUAUUUUGUUGGUAUUUCAUGUAUAUUUAUUUCCAGUAUAUUCAAUUUCUGUUGGAUUUUAGAUUCGUUUGGGUAAUUAUCAGUGUGCUUCAUUUUCUUUGGUAUGUUUAAUAAUUACUAUUUUAUUUUCCUUUUACUCAAAUUGAUUUUCUGAUGAUCAGUUGUGUACCCUUUGCAUCUUCGCCCAUUUUUCAUGUGUCCUCUUCAUCAUUUCCGGCUUUACUCGAUUUCCAUGUUAGUUCUUCUUUGUGCGACACUUCUAUUUAUAUUUGGUCUAUGUUUCUUUUGACUGUAUGGUCCGACAUAGUGAUCGAAUUUUUGUAUUUUUCUGUAGCUUCUGAGAGUUACUCGACUAUCAUUUUGUACUGUAGCUAUGACAUGAUUGACUUUUGGGACGUUCUCUUACAAGGUCAUGCCAUUUAUUAGGAAUUAGUCAAGAGAAGUCCCAUUGGUGUAGAAGAAGUUGCUAUUCAUUGUCUCUCCCUUCUUCUCCUAUAUUCCCAUGGAAGCAAUAAAAAUGCUGCUACAGAUGGACGUUUUUGCUAUUGUGAUGCUGAAGUAAAGCUGCAAAUUAUUGUAAAGAAGUUGGGGGUUUAUGCUGGAGUUCGUUGUGAAUAAGAAAAGAGAGUGUUAUUUCUA